rnacentral:rRNA from 1 species
GAUUGAACGCUAGCGGGAUGCUUUACACAUGCAAGUCGAACGGCAGCGCGGACUUCGGUCUGGCGGCGAGUGGCGAACGGGUGAGUAAUAUAUCGGAACGUGCCCAGUAGCGGGGGAUAACUACGCGAAAGCGUGGCUAAUACCGCAUACGCCCUACGGGGGAAAGGGGGGAUCGCAAGACCUCUCACUAUUGGAGCGGCCGAUAUCAGAUUAGCUAGUUGGUGGGGUAAAAGCCUACCAAGGCGACGAUCUGUAGCUGGUCUGAGAGGACGACCAGCCACACUGGAACUGAGACACGGUCCAGACUCCUACGGGAGGCAGCAGUGGGGAAUUUGGACAAUGGGCGCAAGCCUGAUCCAGCAAUGCCGCGUGCAGGAUG